rnacentral:lncRNA from 1 species
CGCUGUCACCUGGGAGUCAGUCGGGUGUCAAGUGCAGCUCCUCUGUUCUCCUCCUGGUGUUUGCCAGGUGAGCCCUCAUGGCCACACUCGCUGGCUGAAGCCGCUCCUCAUUAUGCAUCUCUUUAGGAAACAGUUUCUCAUCCUCUUCAUCAGAUGCCAUAUGAGACCCAGGAACUGUGGCAGUGCACACCAACUGUCAGGAGGGAAUCACCCGUUCCUCCUCCUCCAGGCUCCAAACCCGGGCCUUGUGCCAUUCCUCACCUGGUGCCACCAGGCCUUCCCAGCCCUGAGAAGGGACUCCUCCAGCAUGAACCAUGUUUACUUUUCUUCUAGCUUCGGAGACAUUCUGGACACACCUGCUGGGCUGUUCCGGGCAGACAGACAAUGAGGCUUUGCUGAGACCCACCUUGGGCCUCCAUGCUGAGGGCCAGAAGUGGAUGUUCCCGUAGUCUCCUAACAGGUGUGGGGGAACUGUCUGCACUGUAUGAAUGCAGGGCUCUGCUUCACCAAAACACCUUCCCUUCCCCUCCCCUGUGGGAGCCUGGGGAUCCAACUGUCUUAGCUUCCUGUUUUCUGAUCUAACAAAUCGACAUAGAUGCAGUGGCUUCAGUUAUUAAUCCAUUUAAUUUGUUUACUUUGCAGUAUUGAGGAUUGAACUUAGGGCCUUCACAAUGAGUUACAUCCCCAGCACUUUUUAGAUUUUUAAAUUUUGAGACUAGUUCUCAUUAAGUUACUGAGUUGCCUGGGAUAAGCUUAAACAUAAAGUCCUCCUGCCUCAGCCUCCCAGAGUCCUGGGAUUACGGGCAUGUGCCACCAAACCUGGCUGCUCCUUCCAGCUUCUGAUGGCUGUUGGCAUCCAUCCCUCUAAUCUCUGCCUGUGUGGUCAUGUCACUUUGAACAUAUGUCUCAUAAAGACAUCUGCCAGUGGAUUUAGGGCCCAGGUCAUCCAGAAUGAUCUGGUUUGGAAUCCUUAACUGUAUCUACAAAGGCUUUUUCCAGAUGAAGUCUUACUCAUGGCUCCAGGAAUUAGGACACAGACAUCCCUCUCAGGGGCCACCAUUCACCCUGCAGUGGUGGCAUUUUCAACGUCAGCAACUAGAUCCUCUCUACCCAACUACUUCAAGAUGCUGUUUCUGGAAAAGAAGAAUUACUGAUCAAAUUGAAGGUGUAAAUGAUUCGUCAUAAUUUUUGCUUCUUUCUGCCAGGAAUGACUGCAGCCCAGGAGAAAGCAGGGGACCUACAGUUGGGGAGAAGCCCUCCCAGGGGAGAGGGAGGGUUGAUUCACUGGGUCACCAGGCCUGGACCUGAAGCCGACUCUGACAAGGAAGUUCCUUGUUGUUUCAACAGGAGCUUUAAGAAUUGCAAAUAACCCCAGUGUGUGACACGCCUAUAAUCUCAGCUGCUCUGGAGGAUGACAUAGGGGAUGGCAAGUUCAAAGCCAACUUGGGCAAUUCAGCAAGAGCCUGUCUCAA